AUUGAACGCUGGCGGCAGGCUUAACACAUGCAAGUCGAGCGGAGAUGAGGUGCUUGCACCUUAUCUUAGCGGCGGACGGGUGAGUAAUGCUUAGGAAUCUGCCUAUUAGUGGGGGACAACAUUCCGAAAGGAAUGCUAAUACCGCAUACGCCCUACGGGGGAAAGCAGGGGAUCUUCGGACCUUGCGCUAAUAGAUGAGCCUAAGUCGGAUUAGCUAGUUGGUGGGGUAAAGGCCUACCAAGGCGACGAUCUGUAGCGGGUCUGAGAGGAUGAUCCGCCACCCGGGGACUGAGACACGGCCCAGACUCCUACGGGAGGCAGCAGUGGGGAAUAUUGGACAAUGGGCGGAAGCCUGAUCCAGCCAUGCCGCGUGUGUGAAGAAGGCCUUUUGGUUGUAAAGCACUUUAAGCGAGGAGGAGGCUACCUGGAUUAAUACUCUAGGAUAGUGGACGUUACUCGCAGAAUAAGCACCGGCUAACUCUGUGCCAGCCGCCGCCGUAAUAC
rnacentral:rRNA from 1 species